CUGCCUCUCACCCUGACGCCUCCCUGCCCCGCGCCGCCGGCGCGCCGGCCGCCACCCCGCCGCCCUCGGCCCGCAUGCCUCCACCCCGCCUCCCAGCAGGGGCACGACACCGGGCAUGCGCCAGGACACGGGGCCGGGGGUAGCCCGCGCACGGCGGCCGGAAACCCACGCGACGCGCGGGCGCCCGUCUCGCCGCCCGCUCCCAUGCCGGCAGCCCGGCUCGUCGAACUCCACCGCCCGGGGGCCGCCCCCGCUCCGCCCCUCCGGCCCCUUCUUCCACGGGCGUACAGGUACGCUCCUACUCCUUCGCCACAGUCUUCGUCUUCCUCCCGCGCACUCCCUCUUCCUCUCGUGCCACCUGCCCUCCCUCCGGUCCACGCGACGGCGCUUCCUCCGCGCGACGGUGCUCUCUUGCUGCGCGCCCCCCAGCCCGACGUCACCUUCUUGCUGGUCGAUCUUAGUUGUGUUCCUGGUCUUAUGUGUUCUUUUCUCGUCAAUUCUUGGAUCAGUUCUUGUAAACUUGUGCCAUUUCUUGGAUCAGUUCCUUUGAGUGCAUAUCGAGAUGACAAAAGCAGAGUUUAGGUAAUUGGUAUGAAACUGUAAUUUCAGGGAAGCCAAUCCCUGAAAUUACAGGGAUCUGUCAAAGAAAGGCAGUACUACUGUUUUAAUUAGUAAAUAAAAUUGAUUCACUAACUAUUUUUGACAGAAGAACUACUAUUUUGUUCUGCUCUGCAUAUUGAUUGCCAUUGCAAAGAUAAUCCAGUCCAUAUUAAUUGUUGGAAGUUAGCACUUAAAUUUUGGUCCUAUUGGUACUGUGAUGCAGGGACAAUAAUCCAGUUCCACCAGGUGGGUUCAUGAACAUGUACUAGUGUUCAGUUUGCUGACAUUUAACAGUGAUUCAGUGUGCCUUGCAGGUAUAAGAAGCAAGGCAAAAUUGGAGGAAAAAGUGCCUAGGCUGAAGCAAUAGGAGGCUCUGUUCUUAGUUUUUCAUUUGUCAAAAAUUGAAACUGUCAUAUGUCAAUAGUCAAAAAUGGAAUUGUAUCUGAAUGAGUUGCUAUCUAUUUGAAUGGAGUUGUAUCUGAACUGAAACCUGACUAGUGAAUUAGUCAAAAAAUGGAAUUAGUAUGUGCAGGUUCAAAGGUUGUGCUUUGGCCCUGUCAUAUGUGCAUUGCUCCUGCUAGGUGUCCUUGAUUCUAAGGGUGGAAUUAGUAUGUGCAGGUUAAAGCUUCCUCAAACAGGAAACCUGGAUGUUUGGUCCUGCAGGUUGUUAUAACCUGUCAUAGUGCAUUGCAGUAUGGUUCUUCCAGGUCUUGUUUCCAGCACAUCAAUCAAUUUCUCAGGCCCAGGAAAGAUUUACACAUUACGGCAUGAUGUCACAAAUGUUCAAUGCCUAAUGCCAGGAUUAAUCCGGGCAAUAAGAAAGGUGGUACGGUUGAAGAACUUGAUUUAUGGUCUAGAGAAGUUCCUUUAGUCCACAUCCAUCUCGGUAUAACUUCUGGCUGUUCCUGAUUAUCAAAUGGACAGGCAUUGGAGAGGGGGGGGGGGGUGUUUAUUCAAGAAAAAUCACAAAACGGUCACAUGGAUAACCACUGGUAGCAGUACCAAGCCAAUGAAUGGAGUGUUCAGACUGACAUCAAGAUUCAAUUCCAUCAGCACAUCAAGGAGUUUCUAGUUCUGUGACAUGAGCAACAUGGACGAGCAUCAAAAAGCUUACCUGAUGGCCAAGAGAGCUCAGUUCGCUAAGGCAGCGAGUGCUAGUGUAGGUGACACUGCUAGUGUAGGUGAUGCUACUAGUGCUUGAGUCAAGGUGCAGGUGCUAGUGCCAUAUGCUACUAGGCUGAAGCAAUAGGAGGCUCUGUUCCCAGUUUUUCAUUUCUGUCAUAUGUCAAUAGUCAAAAAUGGAGUUGUAUCUGAAUUUUCUGCAAGUAUCUUUUCUGAUGGUGAAAUUCAAUAGUUCAAAGUGGUAUCUUUUCUGCAAGUA